AGCAUAGCAACAGCAGCGUAGCUGAACAUCUUACGGAUGGCCCAGGGCUCCAAAGGCUCGUUUCCUAAGUGAGAGAGAGCCUGGCUGAAGCUGUAUUACCAUUCAUUCUCCAGCCUCCGAAGUCUCAAAGCAUCACUUCCACCAUACUCUAACUGUCAAGACAAACACAAAGGCCCAGAAACUGCCAGACUGUCUUCUGAAGUGGCUAUAAUAUUUACACUCCCAUCAGCAGUGUAGAAGGGGUCUCACUAUGUUGUCUGGAGUGCUGUGGUGGAGUGGAGUGGCUAUUCACAGGAUUCUUGGAAUGGACUGUAAAAGUCUGGAAUCAAGACUUUGUGUUUCCUCUCUAACAUGUAAAGAGCUUAGAAGUUGUCGCUAUUGCCCUUACAACAAAAUGAAGCUGGACAAACUGAAAAUCAAUGACUUUUCUUGGACUCACUAUACAGCUGAGUUUGCAGAGUAAACCACUACCCUGAAAUCUGGAAAGGCAGGUGCACCCACAGAUCCUCAGCUGAGAUCCAAUUACCUGAAAUAGAAGCUGCCAUUAGGAACACUUAAAAGAGCCUGUUCUGCUGGGACACAGAAUCACUUGCUCCAUCUCAUACAUUGAUGAUGAUUAAUUUGUAUGUGUACCUUCCAAAAAAGAUGGUUGUGUUUGAAUGGAGGCCUUCUGGACAGGAAAAUAAUCACAUCCUUCCUGAGAUAAUGAGCACACAAUUGCCUGGAUACCUGAAGGAAUGGAGACAGCGGCAGAAAACACUGCAGAGAGGUGGAAACAUCCGUUAAUAUUUUAAAAUCCCAUUACUGCUACCAACAAUAAUAAUGGAUGCAUAGAAAUAGAUCUGGAUUAGCUGAGCUUGAAACAGUCCAUCUCACACACACACAAAAGAAUUUCAGAUACAGUGAACCCACAUGUUGAAGCUUUCUAGUAUAAUAAAAAUUUCAACUGUUCUGUUGAAUCAUCUGCCUGAUUGGAGGCUACAGAAAAGAUGUCAUCUUAGGAGUGCUUGCUCUGAGUGAGGCUCAUCUUCAAAUCUGAAUGACCACAAGGAGAUUUGAUUAUACAUGUGAACACCUCAGAAGGCACAGCCCACCCAGAAGGCAGACAGGUCAGGCUGCUUUUUCUUCAUUGCUUGGAUUCAAUCCUCCGGGCGGCUCAGGCUCAAACAUAACUUAAGCAUGAUUAAACUUUAGAAGAAGCUGCCAGGAAGACUGUGAAAUCUUCAUGCCCAAGGAUCCCUAAAAUUAGGAGCAACAACCACUUGGCUCAGACGGUUUAUGGAGGCAAAGGUUUGGAUGGGAUUAGAGAUUUCUAAAUGUGAGUUCGUGUCCUCUGCCAGACCACCUUACUUCCACCAUUCCUCAGCAAAUCAAGAAAAACAGGAGAAAAGACAUGCCUUUCCAUAAGUUAAAUCUAUUCUGUUUUAAUUCUAUAUUAUAUCUGCUGUACAACUUCUUUUGUUUGUAACACCAUAUUGUUGCUAGUAACUGGAAAUUAAUUUUCACAUGCCUCAGCUUAGAAAAAUAAAAAGCAGCCCUGCAUCAAUCCCAA
ensembl:lncRNA LINC00635 long intergenic non-protein coding RNA 635